rnacentral:tRNA from 1 species
UCCCUGGUGGCUCAGUGGUGGAGAAUCUGCCUGCAAAUUCAGGAGACACAGGUUCGAUCCCUGGCCUGGGAA